rnacentral:rRNA from 1 species
CCUACGGGAGGCAGCAGUGAGGAAUAUUGGUCAAUGGACGAGAGUCUGAACCAGCCAAGUAGCGUGAAGGAUGACUGCCCUAUGGGUUGUAAACUUCUUUUAUAUGGGAAUAAAAUGUUCCACGUGUGGGAUUUUGUAUGUACCAUAUGAAUAAGGAUCGGCUAACUCCGUGCCAGCAGCCGCGGUAAUACGGAGGAUCCGAGCGUUAUCCGGAUUUAUGGGGUUUAAAGGGAGCGUAGGUGGAUUGUUAAGUCAGUUUUGAAAGUUUGCGGCUCAACCGUAAAAUUGCAGUUGAAACUGGCAGUAUUGAGUACAGUAGAGGUGGGCGGAAUUAGUGGUGUAGCGGUGAAAUGCUUAGAUAUCACGAAGAACUCCGAUUGCGAAGGCAGCUCACUGGACUGCAACUGACACUGAGGCUCGAAAGUGUGGGUAUCAAACAGGAUUAGAUACCCUAGUAGUC